UGUUGACGCUUUGGACUGCGGCUGCGCGCUGCUGCUAGUGAUUGUUAGAGAACCGCUCGUUUAACAUUUUGCGUGCUAAUGGCAUCACUGAGCCACAAAUAGUACGAUCGUUUUUUUCUCUGCACUGAACAGUCCGAAAAAGAAACAGUUUCUCACUUAAUUGGCUUUUAGCAGAGAGCCCAGAACAGCUACCAGAAUUCUUUACUGAAGCAGCAUUAGCCUUGGUUGCAAUUUUUGCAAAAUUUACUGCAUCUGCAACCUUGACAAGAAGGACUUGGAUGAAAUCUUUUGCAGCAGAAGAUCGCAGGGCUGAUACACCAACACAAGUAUUACAGUGCACCAGUGCUACCAAUGUUUACAUAAAGAAUUGUUACUACACAGAGAGGCCCAGAUUUGUGACGAGGCCACAAAGUCCCAGCAUACCGCCCAGCGGCUUUCUGAGGAGCACUGGAGCUGAGCUCCUUGACCAUGCUAGCGGAGCUGACAUGACCAUUCAAGAUCUGUUGCCAGUUCAUUGGUUUUCUUGUAUAAGAAGCUCUUCUUCAUUCAGACCUCUUCAUCUUGAUCAUUGCUGAUGAGCUAUCAAUAAUUUCAAGCUGGUUGAGCAUUUGUCUGAAGGUUAAAUAAAUCCAGCUCUGCUGUUUGCAUUAUUUCACCCAAGCGGAAGAAUUGUAUUUCCUCAUCACUCAUUUUUUUCCCCAAGCCACUAGCUAAGAAAAGGCUUUCAUGCUACAAAUAGUUUUCACGUGAACUGUACACUUAGGCAACACAUAUAUAUAAGGUGAGAUAGCCUUAGCAGAGCGGUGGUCUGGCUCGCUAUGGCAACAGGAGGCCUGUCCAGCUGCUGCUGUGUUAGGAUAAGCAAGUUGCGAGUCAGAAAGAGUGGUGGUUAUUCACUUAUUGCACUGUUACGGUUAAGAUGGUGUUCAUCUAGCUUAUCAUGCUGGUACAGAUUCUGUGAGAAGGGCGAUAAAAGUGAUAACUUAUAAUAUGUUAUUAUAACUUUUUGGCAUACAGGGUAUGAUGUCACUGACAUAAG